rnacentral:rRNA from 1 species
UAAGGAAUAUUGGUCAAUGGACGGAAGUCUGAACCAGCCAUGCCGCGUGGAGGAUGAAGGCCCUCUGGGUUGUAAACUUCUUUUAUCUGGGACGAAACACUUCUUAUCUAAGGAGCUUGACGGUACCAGGUGAAUAAGCACCGGCUAACUCCGUGCCAGCAGCCGCGGUAAUACGGAGGGUGCAAGCGUUAUCCGGAUUCACUGGGUUUAAAGGGUGCGUAGGCGGACAUGUAAGUCCGUGGUGAAAUCUCCGAGCUUAACUCGGAAACUGCCAUGGAUACUAUAUGUCUUGAAUGUUGUGGAGGUUAGCGGAAUAUGUCAUGUAGCGGUGAAAUGCAUAGAUAUGACAUAGAACACCAAUUGCGAAGGCAGCUGGCUACACAAAUAUUGACGCUGAGGCACGAAAGCGUGGGGAUCAAACA